rnacentral:rRNA from 1 species
UACGGAGGGUGCAAGCGUUGUCCGGAUUUAUUGGGUUUAAAGGGUGCGUAGGCGGUUCUUUAAGUCCGUGGUGAAAGCCUCCAGCUUAACUGGAGAAAUGCCAUUGAUACUGAAGAACUUGAGUACAGACGAGGUAGGCGGAAUUGACAGUGUAGCGGUGAAAUGCAUAGAUAUUGUCAAGAACACCGAUUGCGAAGGCAGCUUACUAGACUGUAACUGACGCUGAGGCACGAAAGUGCGGGGAUCAAACAGG